UGCCAGCAGCCGCGGUAAUACUGAAGGUGCAAGCGUUAAUCGGAAUCACUGGGCGUAAAGCGCUCGUAGGUGGCUUUGUAAGUCAGAUGUGAAAGCCCACGGCUCAACCGUGGAAUUGCAUUUGAUACUGCAUCGCUAGAGUAUGGCAGAGGUUAGUGGAAUUCAAUGUGUAGCGGUGGAAUGCGUAGAUAUAUUGAGGAACACCAGUGGCGAAGGCGGCUAACUGGACCGGAACUGACGCUGAGGCACGAAAGCGUGGGGAGCAAACAGGAUUAGAUA
rnacentral:rRNA from 1 species